AUUGAACGCUGGCGGCAUGCUUUACACAUGCAAGUCGAACGGCAGCACGGGCUUCGGCCUGGUGGCGAGUGGCGAACGGGUGAGUAAUAUAUCGGAACGUACCCAGAAGUGGGGGAUAACGUAGCGAAAGUUACGCUAAUACCGCAUACGAUCUAUGGAUGAAAGCAGGGGACCGCAAGGCCUUGUGCUCCUGGAGCGGCCGAUAUCUGAUUAGCUAGUUGGUGAGGUAAAGGCUCACCAAGGCGACGAUCAGUAGCUGGUCUGAGAGGACGACCAGCCACACUGGAACUGAGACACGGUCCAGACUCCUACGGGAGGCAGCAGUGGGGAAUUUUGGACAAUGGGCGCAAGCCUGAUCCAGCAAUGCCGCGUGAGUGAAGAAGGCCUUCGGGUUGUAAAGCUCUUUUGUCAGGGAAGAAACGGUAGAGGCUAAUAUCCUUUGCUAAUGACAGUACCUGAAGAAUAAGCACCGGCUAACUACGUG
rnacentral:rRNA from 1 species